rnacentral:rRNA from 1 species
CCUACGGGUGGCAGCAGUGGGGAAUAUUGCGCAAUGGGCGCAAGCCUGAUGCAGCCAUGCCGCGUGUGUGAAGAAGGCCUUCGGGUUGUAAAGCACUUUCAGCGGGGAGGAAGGCGUUAAGGUUAAUAACCUUGUCGAUUGACGUUACCCGCAGAAGAAGCACCGGCUAACUCCGUGCCAGCAGCCGCGGUAAUACGGAGGGUGCAAGCGUUAAUCGGAAUUACUGGGCGUAAAGCGCACGCAGGCGGUCUGUCAAGUCGGAUGUGAAAUCCCCGGGCUCAACCUGGGAACUGCAUUCGAAACUGGCAGGCUAGAGUCUUGUAGAGGGGGGUAGAAUUCCAGGUGUAGCGGUGAAAUGCGUAGAGAUCUGGAGGAAUACCGGUGGCGAAGGCGGCCCCCUGGACAAAGACUGACGCUCAGGUGCGAAAGCGUGGGGAGCAAACAGGAUUAGAUACCCGAGUAGUC